UACGAAGGGGGCUAGCGUUGCUCGGAAUCACUGGGCGUAAAGGGUGCGUAGGCGGGUCUUUAAGUCAGGGGUGAAAUCCUGGAGCUCAACUCCAGAACUGCCUUUGAUACUGAAGAUCUUGAGUUCGGGAGAGGUGAGUGGAACUGCGAGUGUAGAGGUGAAAUUCGUAGAUAUUCGCAAGAACACCAGUGGCGAAGGCGGCUCACUGGCCCAUACUGACGCUGAGGCACGAAAGCGUGGGGAGCAAACAGG
rnacentral:rRNA from 1 species